ACCGUAUACCCUACAGAAGGUGACAUCAUCACAGAUUCGGGAAGAAAGAAACACAUUCUGUUGGUUUUGAUAUCACAUCUCUCAAAUGAGAAGAAAACCAUUCACUUCCUUGGAUCCGUGGUUCCGCCUUUGGCCUCCAGGGGGCGACGUUGCACUAAAGAGGCAUUUGCGUUCGUUGCAGACCAUUCUCAUCCACUGAGCCUCCCCCUUGCAGCUGGCUGACGCAGCUCACUAAUGUCUGUAGAUACGGAGCUGUGACGAGAACAGGAGGCCAGAAAGCAUCCAGGCUCUUUAAGAGAAAACCUUUCUUAAACGUUUUUGAAACUUUUCAAAUUCAGCGACUUGUCCCGUCCAACCUCCCCACUGCUCCUAGCUCCCGAGGCUCAGUGCUCUUGGCCUCUAUCCGCCCUGCUCAGGGUCCUGCAGCGUUGCCACUGCUCAGCCAUGCUUCUGCUGCUCGUCCCAGUGCUCGCGGUGAUUUUUGUCCUGGGAGGAACCAGAGCCCAGUCUGUGACCCAGCUUGACGGCCAGGUCACUGUCUCUGAAGAAGCCCCUGUGCUGCUGAAGUGCAGCUACUCGUCGUCUGUUUCAGUGGUGUAUCUCUUCUGGUACGUGCGAUACCCCAACCAAGGACUCCAGCUUCUCCUGAAGUAUCUAUCAGGACCCACCUUGGUUAAAGGCAUCAAAGGUUUUGAGGCUGAAUUUAAGAAGAGUGAAAGCUCCUUCCACCUGAGGAAAUCCUCAGCCCAUGUGAGCGACGCAGCUGAGUACUUCUGUGCUGUGAGUGACACAGUGCCUGAGACUGCAGGGGAGCUGAACACAAACCCCCUGAGAUGCUGAGAUUUUCUGUGACUCAAGAACUCAACCUUGAAGUCUGUUUUAUAAUGUUAAAUAG